AUUGAACGCUGGCGGCAGGCCUAACACAUGCAAGUCGAACGAGUGGCGGACGGGUGAGUAAUGCUUGGGAAUCUGGCUUAUGGAGGGGGAUAACGACGGGAAACUGUCGCUAAUACCGCGUACCAUAGGAUGAGCCCAAGUGGGAUUAGGUAGUUGGUGGGGUAAUGGCCUACCAAGCCGACGAUCCCUAGCUGGUCUGAGAGGAUGACCAGCCACAUGGGAAGUGAGAGACGGCCCGUACUCCUACGGGAGGCAGCAGUGGGGAAUAUUGCGCAAUGGGGGCAAUCCUGAUGCAGCCAUGCCGAGUGAGUGAAGAAGGCCUUCGGGUUGUAAAGAACUUUCAGCAUUGAGGCGUUACAUACAGAAGAAGCACCGGCUAACUCCGUGCCAGCAGCCGCGGUAAUUC
rnacentral:rRNA from 1 species